GUGCUUGUGCAGCACAUAUACCAAAAUUGGAAUGAUAGAGGAUUAGUAAGGAUGACAUGCAAAUUCGUAAAGUGUUCCAUAUUUUU
ensembl:snRNA U6 U6 spliceosomal RNA